CCCCCUAUUGAGAAGAAGUUUUAAGUAACCAUAUGUAACCAUAGCAAACUUACAUAUCAUACCAAUAAUUUGAGUAUCCCAGAUUUACAUUUACUAUGUUAUGUCUAGUCUGUGAGACCAGGCGGACACUACUUGACCACUGCUCACUGGUGACAACCUGCACUUAUGGAGUGGCCACUGAGCAAUGCAUGGUUAUGCAUGGUUACCAUGCAUAAACAUGCACGAGUGGAACCCGCUGCGCUCCCUAACAGUUGACAGCCUUGAGAAGUCACCAAAAUGCUGAAACCAAAACUGCUGUCUGUAUUUCUCCAUUUGAAUAAGAUAAGAAAAAAAGAAGUAACCCGCACACUGCUCUUGAUAGUAUCAUUGCUCUUUAAUAAGCUUUAGGUAUCGGCGACAAAGCAAAUAUACAUCUAAAACCAUUUCAUUUUACAAGAUCUAUAAUCUCAAGAGCAUAAAAAAUAAAAAUGUAUGAUUUGGAGAUAGAUGAACAACUGGCGCGGAUUAAAAAGAGAGAUUUAGUGCAGACAUAUUUCUUCAAAAUAGCAAGCAGAGUGUUCGGUCCCACUAAAACAAGGGACAGGAUUUUCAUCGUGUCACGGAUACCCAAACGACCCGUGUGCAUGCUUAAGCCUGCAAGCCAAGUGCCGACAAAAGGUCGACAUGGGUCAGUGGCGGCCAUAGCAUCAGGAGCACGGGACAGAGACAGUGGUACUUCAAGGACAGAGAUGCCUUUGGAUUUUAAUGACGCCACACACCAGGACUGGGUUAACCAAAGGAGGUCCAUUGUCAAGAGUUCGAUAGUCUAUGAGAUUUGUCGAAGUGGGCAAGCUGACGGUGACCGAGUGAGCAAGCUGACGGUGACUGAGCUGGAGAUGUUGGUUGAGGAGAGAGAGAAAAAGAUUCAGAGAACUCCCUCACUUGUCCUGCGUUUUACUUUGACACCCUCUGAGGCUUAUAAGGUAAAUCAUCAAUGAGUAGUGCUACCAUGGCUCUUAGAGCCCAUUAAAUUAAUUUUCUUACUCACUUUUCUUUGUCUCUUCUCCAGGCCAGAACACUUGCCAGGCUGACCGGUCCUUCUCAACGGACUAAUGUGCCUUGUGUGUGAGCAGUCCGGUCCACACAGUGCAAGGUUAACAGGUACCCAUGCACUCACGAUCUCCGACCCUCUGAAGUGGCCAAAACGCUUGACAAACAUGGCAAGGGAUGCAUCAGUCAGAAUGACCCCCAAGCUGUGUUUGAGAAGCAGGGCAUCCCUGUAGUGUCAGAGCGUCUGGAUGACCUAAUGUCCAGUCCAAGCAGAAUGGAGGGGGGCAAAGUGACAGUGAAGGAUUUGGCUGAGGGCAUCAAGGCCUAGAGCCAGGUGAGGGAGAGGGAGGAGAGGGCCAGCUGGGGUCACAGGAGCCUGCCAGAGAGAGGGGAGCUAAGACUACCCCUGGAGCUGGAGAAGGGGGGUAACGGACAUAGAGAGAGUGAGGGAAAGGGAGCAGUGGGCCCUGAGCCCCCCAGUGCCAAGGCCAAUAUGGAGCUGUGGUUUCAAGCAGGGCUUGGGGAGGCAAGGUGCCAAGCUCCUAUCCCUCCCCAGCCCUGAGAAGUGUCUGGAGACUCCCCUGUCUCUGGAGUAGCAGCAGGAGCAGGCUGUCAUCCAGCAGCAGCGCCACAACAGAAUCAAGGUGAGGGCAGGACCAUUACAAUCAAAUCCUACAGGCAGGAUGCCUCCUGUCCUGAGACAGUUGUCACUACAGAGCAUCAAGGCUCUUAAGGUCACUCUCUCUUUCAUUGGCCCUAUCAUGACCUAACCUCUGACCUCUAACCUUGUCGGCACUAGGGCAUGCAGGAUAAGGAGGUGCUGGCCAUCAUGCGGACAGUGUGUAUAGGGAACCCCACCCAGGACGCGCACUCCCACCCAUCUUCUCUGGGGGGAGACAUGGCCAGAGUGGUGGACAGGUUCAGGAAACAGUGUCUGGGGGAGUAUCUGGACUCACCGGACCAGUGUCACACAAAGCGGGUCACAGUUCCUCAAGGUUCCGUUUUAGGACCACUAUUGUUUUCACUAUAUACUUUACCUCUUGGGGAUGUCAUUCGAAAACAUAAU